GACGAACGCUGGCGGCGUGCUUAACACAUGCAAGUCGAACGAAGAGCGAUGGAAGCUUGCUUCUAUCACUCUUGGUGGCGAACGGGUGAGUAACGCGUAAUCAACCUGCCCUUCAGAGGGGGACAACAGUUGGAAACGACUGCUAAUACCGCAUACGAUCUAAUCUCGGCAUCGAGGAUAGAUGAAAGGUGGCCUCUACAUGUAAGCUCUCACUGAAGGAGGGGAUUGCGUCUGAUUAGCUAGUUGGAGGGGUAACGGCCCACCAAGGCGAUGAUCAGUAGCCGAGCUGAGAGGAUGAACGGCCACAUUGGGACUGAGACACGGCCCAGACUCCUACGGGAGGCAGCAGUGGGGAAUCUUCCGCAAUGGACGAAAGUCUGACGGAGCAACGCCGCGUGAGCGAUGACGGCCUUCGGGUUGUAAAGCUCUGUUAAUCGGGACGAAAGGCCUUCUUGCGAAUAGUGAGAAGGAUUGACGGUACCGGAAUAGAAAGCCACGGCUAACUACGUG
rnacentral:rRNA from 1 species